ensembl:lncRNA
UCCCCGUUCCUGGGGUGUCCCAGUUUUGGGGUGUCCCCAUCGUUCUGGGGGUGUCCCCAUUGUUCUGGGGGUUUCCCCAUUCCGGUGGUAUCUCGGUUUUGGGGUGUCCCUAUUCUGGUGUGUCCCAGUUUUGGGGUGUCUUGGUUCUGGGUGUGUCCUGUUUUUGGGGUGUCCUGGUUCCAGGGGUUUCCCCAUUCUGGGUGUCCCCAUUCCGGUGUGUCCUAUUUUUGGGAUAUCAGUUUUUGGGGUAUCCCGUUUUUGGGGUGUCCCAGUUCUGGGGUAUCCCAGUUUUUGGGGUAUCCCAUUUUUGGGGUGUCUCAGUUCUGGGGUAUCCCAGUUUUGGUGCAUCCCGUUUUUGGGGUGUCCCUAUUCCAAGGUGUGCCUUUUUUGGGGUGUCCUGGUUCCAGUGUAUCCCAUUUUUGAGGUGUCCCCAUCCCGGUGUGCCCCGUUUUUGGCAUAUAUUGUUUUUGGCAUAUCCCGUUUUUGGCGUAUCCCGUUUUGGGGGUAUUCUGUUUUCGGGUUGUCCCAUUUUUGAGGUAUCCCGGUUUUGGGGUGUCCCAUUUUUGGGGUGUCCCCAUCCCAGUAUAUCCCAUUUUUGGGCUGUAUCCCAUUUUUGGGGUGUAUCCCGUUUUUGGGGUGUCCUGGUUCCAGUGUAUCCCAUUUUUGGGGUGUCCCAUUUUUGGGGCGUAUCCUGGUUUUGGUGUGUCCCAUUUUUGGGGUGUCCU